UACCACUUUAAAACCUUUAAUUUUGAUUAGGUACUGCUUGGAUAUAAAAGAAUUUAAACAUUUUUUAUUUAAAUUAGAAGUUGUGCAAAGAUGGUUGCACUCACUGCUUGUUUAUUUUUUUUGUUUGCCACUGAGGCAAUGUCAAUGUUAAAUGGAGCCCCUAAACCAACAUAUAAAAACGAUAUUCUGGCUAUUAAACACAUCAAAGACAGUGUAGUACUGAAAUCAUGUAUAGGAGUCGAAAUUUCCACUUUUUGGGUACUUUCAUCAGCUCUGUGCCUUCACAGCAAUAUUUCGGACAAAGUAGUUGUUGAAGCUCGAGUUAACGAGGAAAAAGUCUUACGUUACACCAAUACCGAGGUUAAAAUUCAUCCAGAUUAUGAUAAAAUGAGCGGGAACAAUGACAUCGGUGUGCUUCAUAUCAAAGGAGGGAAACAUAUUGAAGGGAUGGGUCAACACCUUAUACUUCCAUUUGCUCAUUUUCCUAAAAUGAAUGGAAGUAUAAGUGCUUGGAAUUUAAAAUCAGGCGGUUAUUCCCAGAUAGUUGAGUCUCUAGAAGCUGGUCAUUUAAAAGUUAAUAUUUAUCUUAUGACUGAUUGCAAACUGCAAUUUCCUCAGUUGGACGCGCAAGCCCAUUUACAUGGAGACUAUCAGAUUUGUACAUUUCCAAUGGUUGAAGGUUCAGAUUUGUGUGAACCAGAUUCCGGGGCGCCAUUGUACAGUUACCAUAAGUUUAGUAAUAGAUGGGGAUUGAUUGGGAUUUACAAUGAUAUUAUGGCUGCAACAACAGGACGUACACAUCAGUGUAAUCAAGAACAUCGACAUCCGUUGAUUUUUACACAGAUUUUUCACUACUUUGGGUGGAUUUCUAAUGUUACUAAAAUUCCCUACGAAGUUUUGAAAGGAACUAACGCAAUAAAUAAAGAUUACAAGUAAAAAAUGUAUAUUAAUCGAAUUUCAAAUAAAUAUUUUUCUAUGUU